AUGAAAAAGGGAGGAUCAACGCUCGACAACAGAUCUGUCGUGCCAUACAACAGAAACCUUUUGGUCAAAGUCCAAGCUAACAUAAACGUGGAGUGGUGCAAUAGGUCCAGGUCAAUCAAGUACCUAUUUAAGUACAUCCAUAAAGACGAUGACCAAGUAACAACCUUACUAAAGGAAAGGGGUGCGACAAAUGACUACGAUGAGAUCAAAAAAUACCUAGAGAUGAGAUACAUAUCAACAACCGAAGCAUGCUGGCGGAUAUUCCAGUUUGAUCUUCACCAUCGUGAUCCACCGGUCGAGAGUCUGCCAUUGCGCAUUGAAAAUGAGCAACAAGUUAUUUUUCCGGACUCGACUGACAUUGAGAAGAUACAUCAAGCUAGGGAUCAGGCACACAAUUACGACAGCUAUUCACCACAAUUAAUGAUAAACGAAGAACUUAGCUAUGACAUGGAGGCACUAAAGAGGGAGCACCAAACAAUAAUACGCAAUCUUAACCAUGACCAGAAAAUGGCUUUUGAUGCAAUAAUAGAAUCAGCUGAGAGAGGACCUGGAAAACAGAUAUUUGUAGAAGGCUACGGUGGCACAGGAAAAACCUAUCGAUGGAAGGAAAUUACAACAAAGCUACGAUCAGCGGGAAAGAUAGUGCUUGUGGUAGCAUCAUCUAGCAUUGCAGCUUUGCUGCUCCAAGGUGGAACAACAGCGCAUUCAAGAUUCCACAUUCCAAUAAAUAUCAUGGAAGAAUCAACAUGUGAAAUAAAACGGGGCUCACAUUUGGCUGAACUGGUAAAGAAGACCUGA
rnacentral:rRNA from 1 species